UACGAAGGGGGCUAGCGCUGCUCGGAAUCACUGGGCGUAAAGCGCACGUAGGCGGAUUGCUAAGUCAGGGGUGAAAUCCUGGAGCUCAACUCCAGAACUGCCUUUGAUACUGGUGAUCUUGAGUCCGGGAGAGGUGAGUGGAACUGCGAGUGUAGAGGUGAAAUUCGUAGAUAUUCGCAAGAACACCAGUGGCGAAGGCGGCUCACUGGCCCGGUACUGACGCUGAGGUGCGAAAGCGUGGGGAGCAAACAGG
rnacentral:rRNA from 1 species